GCAAGAGUGGCGGAACUAGGUAGACGCGCUGGAUUUAGGAUCCAGUGCCCGAGAGGGCGUAUGGGUUCGAUUCCCUUCUCUUGCACCA
rnacentral:tRNA from 1 species